rnacentral:rRNA from 1 species
GACGUAGGGCGCGAGCGUUGUCCGGAUUUAUUGGGCGUAAAGAGCUCGUAGGCGGUCUGUCGCGUCGGCUGUGAAAACUCGGGGCUCAACUCCGAGCUUGCAGUCGAUACGGGCAGGCUAGAGUUCGGCAGGGGAGACUGGAAUUCCUGGUGUAGCGGUGAAAUGCGCAGAUAUCAGGAGGAACACCGGUGGCGAGGGCGGGUCUCUGGGCCGAUACUGACGCUGAGGAGCGAAAGCGUGGGGAGCGAACAGG